AGUUAAAUAGUUUAAUUAAAAUAUUAAUUUUGUAAAUUAAAGAUAAAUUGAUUUUUUAACUU
rnacentral:tRNA from 1 species